rnacentral:rRNA from 1 species
CGGCGAGUGAAGCGGCAACAGCUCAGAUUUGAAAUCUGGCCCUCACGGGGUCCGAGUUGUAAUCUGUAGAGGAUGCUUUUGGCGACGCGCCUUCCGAGUCCCCUGGAACGGGGCGCCAGAGAGGGUGAGAGCCCCGUAUGGUUGGACGCCGAACCUCUGUAAAGCUCCUUCGACGAGUCGAGUAGUUUGGGAAUGCUGCUCAAAAUGGGAGGUAAAUUUCUUCUAAAGCUAAAUACCGGCCAGAGACCGAUAGCGCACAAGUAGAGUGAUCGAAAGAUGAAAAGCACUUUGAAAAGAGGGUUAAAUAGCACGUGAAAUUGCUGAAAGGGAAGCGCUUGUGACCAGACUUGCGCCCGGUUGAUCAUCCAGCGUUCUCGCUGGUGCACUCUGCCGGGCUCAGGCCAGCAUCGGCUCUCCCAGGGGGAUAAAGGUCGCGGGAACGUAGCUCUCUCCGGGGAGUGUUAUAGCCCGUGGCGGAAUGCCCUUAGGGGGGGCCGAGGCCCGCGUUCGCAAGGAUGCUGGCGUAAUGGUCACCAGCGACCCGUCUUGAAACACGGACCAAGGAGUCAAGCAUUAGGGCGAGUCUUUGGGUGCAAAACCCGCAGGCGCAAUGAAAGUGAACGGAGGUGAGAGCUUCGGCGCAUCAUCGACCGAUCCUGAUGUUCUCGGAUGGAUUUGAGUAAGAGCCUUACCGCUUGGACCCGAAAGAUGGUGAACUAUGCCUGAAUAGGGUGAAGCCAGAGGAAACUCUGGUGGAGGCUCGCAGCGGUUCUGACGUGCAAAUCGAUCGUCAAAUUUGGGCAUGGGGGCGAAAGACUAAUCGAACCAUCUAGUAGCUGGUUACCGCCGAAGUUUCCCUCAGGAUAGCAGUGUUGUCUUCAGUUUUAUGAGGUAAAGCGAAUGAUUAGGGACUCGGGGGCGCUAUUUAGCCUUC